rnacentral:tRNA from 1 species
AGUUAAAUAGUUUAAUAUAAAACGUUAAUUUUGUAAAUUACAUAAUUAUAUAUAUAUAUAUAUUUAACUU